rnacentral:rRNA from 1 species
GACGAACGCUGGCGGCGUGCUUAACACAUGCAAGUCGAACGGUGACUCAGAGCUUGCUCUGAUGAUCAGUGGCGAACGGGUGAGUAACACGUGAGCAACCUACCCUUGACUCUGGGAUAACAGUUGGAAACAGCUGCUAAUACCGGAUACGACCUCGACCGACAUCAGUUGAGGUGGAAAGUUCUGGCGGUCAAGGAUGGGCUCGCGGCCUAUCAGCUAGUUGGUAAGGUAACGGCUCACCAAGGCUUCGACGGGUAGCCGGCCUGAGAGGGCAACCGGCCACACUGGGACUGAGAUACGGCCCAGACUCCUACGGGAGGCAGCAGCGGGGAAUAUUGCACAAUGGGCGAAAGCCUGAUGCAGCAACGCCGCGUGCGGGAUGACGGCCUUCGGGUUGUAAACCGCUUUCAGCUCCGACGAAGCGCAAGUGACGGUAGGAGCAGAAGAAGGACCGGCCAACUACGUGCCAGCCGCCGCCGUAACAC